rnacentral:misc_RNA from 1 species
AAGUCGUAACAAGGUUUCCGUAGGUGAACCUGCGGAAGGAUCAUUAAAGAUUCGGGCUUCGGCCCAACCUCUUCAGCUGUGCGCUUCGGCUGCACGCUGUCGAAACCUCUCACACCUGUGCACCUUUUCGGUUGCGGCGUUCGCGUCGCUUCCGCUUUACACAUUUUACUACAAAAGUCCAGAAUGUCAAAACUAUAAACAUAAUACAACUUUCAACAACGGAUCUCUUGGCUCUC